GCGGCCUUUCUGGACUGACACUGACACUGAGGUGCGAAAGCGUGGGUAGCAAACAGGAUAAAAUACCCUGGUAGUCCACGCCGUAACAAUGUCACUAGCCGUUGGGUCCCUUGAGGACUUUGUGGCGCAGUUAACGCGAUAAGUCGACCGCCUGGGGAGUACGGCCGCAAGGUUAAACCUUAAAUGAAUUGACGGGGGCCCGCACAGCGGUGGAGCAUGUGGUUUAUUUCUAUGCAACGCGAAGAACCUUACCUACCCUUGACAUCGUGCGAACUUGGUAGAGAUACCUUGGUGCCUUCGGGAGCGCACAGACAGGUGCUGCAUGGCUGUCGUCAGCUCGUGUUGUGAAAUGUUGGGUUAAGUCCCGUAACGAGCGCAACCCUUGUCCCUAUUUGCCAGCGAUUCGGUCGGGAACUCUAUGGAGACUGCCGGUGACAACCGAAGGAAGGUGGGGACGACUUCUAUCUUCAUGGCCCUUACCGUUAGGGCUACACCCUGCUACAAUGGCCGUACAAAGGU
rnacentral:rRNA from 1 species